rnacentral:rRNA from 1 species
UACGGAGGGUGCGAGCGUUGUCCGGAAUCAUUGGGCGUAAAGGGCGCGUAGGUGGCCUGGUCAGUUCGUGGUGAAAGCGCGGGGCUCAACUCCGCGUCGGCCAUGAAUACUGCGAGGCUGGAGCACUGUAGAGGCAGGCGGAAUUCCGGGUGUAGCGGUGGAAUGCGUAGAGAUCCGGAAGAACACCGGUGGCGAAGGCGGCCUGCUGGGCAGUUGCUGACACUGAGGCGCGACAGCGUGGGGGAGCAAACAGG